ensembl:snoRNA
GAGCUAUGAGGAAAACACAAAAACAUACUGACAUUCCUCUGAAGACUGUCAGAUCCAACUCUGAGCUCACAGUUCCU